AGGGGGAGCACCUUGCUGGGGCAU
rnacentral:miRNA from 1 species